AACGCACAUUGCGCCCCUUGGUAUUCCAUGGGGCAUGCCUGUUCGAGCGUCAUUUGUACCCUCAAGCUCUGCUUGGUGUUGGGUGUUUGUCUCGCCAUUGCGCGUAGACUCGCCUUAAAGCAAUUGGCAGCCGGCAAAAGCCUGGGAGCGCAGCACAUGCGUUGCUUUCAGACUGCUUGUCGAGCGUCCAGCAAGCCUAUUAUUCUUGCGUUUGACCUCGGAUCAGGUAGGGAUACCCGCUGAACUUAA
rnacentral:misc_RNA from 1 species